CCUACGGGUGGCAGCAGUGGGGAAUAUUCGGCAAUGGGCGCAAGCCUGACCCAGCAACGCCGCGUGAAUGAAGAAGGCUUUCGGGUCGUAAACUUCUUUUGACAGGGAAGAGUAGAAGACGGUACCUGUCGAAUCAGCCACGGCUAACCACGUGCCAGCAGCCGCGGUAACACGUAGGUGGCAAGCGCUGUCCGGAAUUACUGGGUGUAAUGGGCGUGUAGCCGGGUUGAUAAGUCAGAUGUGAAAUCCUGCGGCUUAACCGUAGAACUGCAUUUGAAACUGUUGAUCUUGAGUACUGGAGAGGCAGACGGAAUUCCUAGUGUAGCGGUGAAAUGCGUAGAUAUUAGGAGGAACACCAGUGGCGAAGGCGAUCUGCUGGACAGCAACUGACGGUGAGGUGCGAAAGCGUGGGGAGCAAACAGGAUUAGAUACCCGUGUAGUC
rnacentral:rRNA from 1 species